rnacentral:tRNA from 1 species
GCAGUGGUGGCUCAGUGGUAGGACUCGCAUCUUCCAGGUGGGAGGGAGACCCAGGUUCAAUUCCUGGCCGAUGUG